rnacentral:lncRNA from 1 species
GAGAAAGGGAAGUAAGUUUUUAACCAGAGAUGUCAGUGGAAAGUAUGGAAGAGAAGACUGUAAGGUAACAUAUUACCUGAAAGCAGCUUAAGUGGAGAAUAUAGCAAGCAAAAAGCCAGAUGCAGUACAAGGGCAAGGAGCAAAGAGAGGGAUCAGGAUUUUGCUGGCUCUAAGUUUGGAGCAGUGACAUGGACUGAGCCCACACAGAGCUCUGAACACUACACAGGAAGAAUAACUGUCCAUUUCGAUCUCUUGGUAGCAUUUGUUUCUAUUAAAAAUUCACAAGAAUUGUCAUCCUCUUUCAUCUUAAUCAGAUGGCAUGUUUGUCAUAAUUAUUUUUUUCAUUAACAUUUGAUGAAUAUUAACUUUACGAAAUAGAACAAUCUUGCUCCUGAAAAAAUCAAGUGGAGCUCUGCAAGGCCAAAGCCAAAGGCACUCUGUGCCUUUGAUGCAUCAGUGCUGAGGGCACGGCAGAUCAACAACAGGAGUCUCCCCAGCUUUGAGGACUUUGCAUGUGGACUAUUGCCAGAUGAUCCUUCAAGUAGGGGGCUCCUGCUGCGGUCUGCAGAGCUGUGAUGAGAUGUAAAAGAAUGCAUCAGCAACAAGAAGACAUCCCUGUUGGUCUUUGCAGCUCCACAUCACUUCAUGGGAUACUUUGUAGCUCUGACUGCUGUCACAAGCAAGGGAAUUGAUAACUAUUACCUUUGUUAAAGCAGAAUUAAAGUAUGACUUCAUUAUCAGUUGACACUGGUUCAUGUGGUGU